rnacentral:lncRNA from 1 species
GUUGAAUGGAUCUUAGAAGAAUUGAACAACUAAUGUUCAGUCUGUGCUCAUGUAUUUCCUUGUAAACCAGUGUUGCUUGGGGAUUAUACUUUGUUUAUGUUUUGAAUUAUAUUGACUUGUUUAUUUAUAGUACUUUUCUUUUAGUUUGAUAAUACGAUGAAUUUGUUUAUUUUUUGAAAUAUUAUAAAUAUUCGAAUAAAAU